ensembl:misc_RNA Metazoa_SRP Metazoan signal recognition particle RNA
GCUGGGCAUGGUGGCGCAUGCCUGUAAUCCCAGCUACUCGGGAGGCUGAGGCAGGAGAAUCGCUUGAACCUGGGAGGCGGAGGUUGCAGUGAGCCGAGAUCACACCACUGCACUCCAGCCUGGGUGACAGAGCAAGACUCUGUCUCAA